AGCGUUGUUUACUCGGGAAACCGAAAUAUCUUCCUCUCCUUCAAUCUCAUCACUGUUGUAAAUGAGUCGAGUACGUUUCCCUUCAAAUUCAGGAAAAUCUUAGUCAAACAUUCACACAAAUCAAAUUGUAAUGUAAAAUAAAAACCUGUUUAGGGUUCUUAAAUUAAUUUGAUUAUUGAUUCUGAUUUGAAAUUAUUGUGAUUAGAAUCAUUAAACCUUUCCACUGAUUUUAACACCUUUUGAUUCUUGACUGGAUUGCAUUUAAUCUCGAUUAUGGAGCAGUGAGGAAUUGCUUGUAAAAAUUACGAAGAAAUGAUCCUCUCCAAAUCUUGUCGUGGCUAUAGAUGUGUUCCAGCAAUUAGUGAGUUCAGAUGAGAGAUAUUUUCGAUGAUUAAAACAAAGCUAAAACAUGCAAAUGAUUCAAGCUGAGGUCCACCGAGAAACCAAUGAAAGGAGAUGUAAUGUUGUUUUCCUUAUUCUGCACUAAUCAAUUGAGGAGAUUAAAUGUGUUUUCGAAGUUCUGGCAGUAUUGGGGAGUUGGGUUUUGACUAGAUUUGAAAUUGACACAGUGUGAGUGUGAUAGAAGAAGAAAAGUAGAAGAUGCGGUCGAAGUUUUCCAAUUUGGAUAGGCUGAGUUGCCAGGCUCCACAAGGCAUUCAGAUCUCUCAACUCCUAGUAUGAUGUAUCGAUGCUGUUCUGAGUAUACUUUUGCUAUAGAACUUCGAUCUAGUUGGUUGUUGGAGACAGUAACUAUGUGGAAGACAAUUAUCAUGGUUCUGAUAUUCCUAUCAGUAUGCCCUGUAGAUAAGACCAAAUUAGCUGGAUUAUUUUGAUUCAUGUGCUGGGUUUUUAGUGUUAUAGUUCAACACUGAAAGUGGCACUUGUUGAUCUGCUGGUGAAUCAGGCUGGUAGUGUUUGCUCGUUUGUUUUUAAAAUCGUAGCUCGUAUCUACCUUUUGGCAAGUGCUACCAAAUGACUGCGGCUCUCUUCAUAUUCUGCUUAUAGCUAUAGCCAUGAAGAUUGAAUUGGUGCUCUCUAAUUCAUAUCCUAUUAGUACUCAGAAUUACAAAAUUUAGUAAGCUAGCUUAUCUGUGGUACUUCUGCAGGAAUCUACAUUAAGCUGUAUUUCAAAUUCUUCAAAUUGUUGUUACCAUCUGUUUUAUUUACCGUUCCUUUCUAUUCUAGGUUUACAUUGUCCAGGCAGCUAAUGUUUCAUAUCCUGAGGAGUCAGUUGGUGUUUCAAAUGGUGAAGAAUCCUCAUAGAUUAGAUCUUCUUGAAUCAGGUGGUACGAUGUAGCAGAACCGUAGCUUGGAAUUCUAUCUACAGGGCAACGGCGGACGCAGUAGUUAUAUGGAAGGUUUCCGGCAACAGCAGAUGAAGUUAGGGAAAGUUUUUUGGUUGUUGUUGUUGCUAGUGCCAUGCACAGCUAGCAUUUUGUCAAUAAUAUAUCUUACUCUUACAAUUCAAUGGGGUCAUUCUGUUAAUUCAAAACUCAAACCAAACUUUAGAUCUCGCUAACAAUGUCUUGAUCCGAAUGCAAAAGAAUUUGUUGCAUUUUUCAUGAA